CUCACAGGUGUUUUUUGCCUUCUCUGGAUCAACUGCAGGAUCACAGGCCGAACUGGAUGGACAAAUGUCUUUUUUCGGCUAUGUACUAGGUUACUAUGUAAACCACCAAAACACCAUCAUGGAGAUGAAGUUUGGGGUCCCAAACCUGCCCAUAUCAAACCCAUCUGUACCUACAAAGAAAAGGUGAAUGAACAUCAAACUUACCAGGAGAAAAGUCCAGGACUCACUGUUCAGUGAUGUGCGGUGUACCGUCAACCGGCUUCAUCGGAUACUGCUGGCCAAGAGUCCUGGACUCUUCUCCCGUUUGCAUUCACUAUUUUUUGUGAGGACAGAUGAGAACCUAAACAACCAACUGCACAAUGGUGUGCUCACGGUUUAGCGAUUCCCCUAAAGUAGGUGUGCACAAACUGCGGCCUGGGGGCCACAUGUGGCCCCAGCUACCAGGAAGCACACAUACAUACCAGUGUCUCAGUAGUCCUGAAAAACAUGGCAGUCAAAUUUUGUCUGUUCCUGUAUUCUCCUGAUAGAUGGGAAUCCCAGAAGUGAACCCCUCACCUGUCAGACACUUAUGGGAUACACUUUUAAUAUGCCAGAAUGUCUGAUGGAACACCCCUCUUAGUUUUUUUGGGGCCCUUGUGAAAUGUACAAUCUGAGACUGAGAACCAAAAAAAAAGUUGUGCAGCCCUACCUUAAAGGGUUUGGUUGACAGGUAUUAGUGAUAUCUACCACACUACUUUGUUUCUCCUAAAUUUAAAGGGCAUCUGUCAGCCAGUGUCAUAGGCAUAAAACUGCUGACAGAUUAUUAGAAAAGCAUGGCUGCUUUCCUCCAAAGUACCACACCUGUCCACAGGUUGUCUCAGGUACUACAGCUCAGCCCUACUGAAGCACAGUUUUUGGCAGAAAGCUGCCAUAUUUUUCCAAUCCUGUACAAUCCCUUUAAGCGGGUGUCACAGGAGAUGCAUAUACUGUAUCCUUCAGUAUACGGUAUACAGAGCAGGAGAGAAUUCCAGAGCAGACACUUUGAAUUCCGAAUCUGACCGUGCAGAAAUUCUGAUAGUCCGGCUCUCGUUUCUGGCACAAAACUUAGAACCAUCUAAAAGGUAAAAAGUAAUAGAAAUAGAAGACUCCUCAGAAAUGGCCAAUGAUAAGACUCUUCCAUAAGCGGUGAUAGAAGCAUAUACUAUAUAUUAAUGAAGAUUUUGUAUGACUACUUGAUUAGCCAGAAUAUGUGAUCAUCCAACGCUGGGUCCCAUUCCUUGGUUGGCGUCCAGCUGUAUUGGGGAACAUUUCUAAAGUGAGGUCAUUUUGACAAAAGUUUUUUUUUUUUAUGUUUCAUUGUCUUUGUAAAUGUAUUCUUUUCUAUAUUCCGAAUUCUAAAUAAAUAAAAAAAAUAUUGAAAUCCAA